rnacentral:rRNA from 1 species
CCCGCUACAGAAACUUAAAGGAAGUUGACGGGGCCCGGCACAAGCGGAGGAGCAUGUGGUUUAAUUCGAUGAUACGCGAGGAACCUUACCUGGGCUCGAACGUAAGAUGACUGUAGGUGAAAGCUUACAUCUCUUCGGAGCAUUUUACGAGGUGCUGCAUGGUUGUCGUCAGCUCGUGCCGUGAGGUGUCGGGUUAAGUCCCAUAACGAGCGCAACCCCUACCUUUAGUUGCCAUCAGGUUAAGCUGGGGACUCUAAAGGAACUGCCUACGCAAGUAGUGAGGAAGGCGGGGAUGACGUCAAAUCAGCACGGCCCUUACGUCCAGGGCUACACACGUGCUACAAUGGCCGAUACAGAGGGCAGCUACCUGGUGACAGGAUGCAAAUCUCCAAAGUCGGUCUCAGUUCGGAUCGGAGUCUGCAACCCGACUCCGUGAAGUUGGAUUCGCUAGUAAUCGCGCAUCAGCCAUGGCGCGGUGAAUACGUUCCCGGGCCUU